rnacentral:misc_RNA from 1 species
AACGCACAUUGCGCCCCCUGGUAUUCCGGGGGGCAUGCCUGUCCGAGCGUCAUUGCUGCCCUCCAGCCCGGCUGGUGUGUUGGGCCGCCGUCCCGUCUCCCUCCGGGGGGUGUGGGACGGGCCCGAAAGGCAGCGGCGGCACCGCGUCCGGUCCUCGAGCGUAUGGGGCUUUGUCACCCGCUCCGCAGGCCCGGCCGGCGCUGGCCGACCUUCCAACCUAGUGUUAUUUCUCCAGGUUGACCUCGGAUCAGGUAGGGAUACCCGCUGAACUUAA